rnacentral:rRNA from 1 species
CACAAGCGGUGGAUGAUGUGGAUUAAUUCGAUGCAACGACGAAAACCUUACCUACCUUGACAUGUCCGGAAUCCCGAAGAGAUUUGGGAGUGCUCGCAAGAGAACCGGAACACAGGUGCUGCAUGGCUGUCGUCAGCUCGUGUCGUGAGAUGUUGGGUUAAGUCCCGCAACGAGCGCAACCCUUGUCAUUAGUUGCCAUCAUUUGGUUGGGCACUCUAAUGAGACUGCCGGUGACAAACCGGAGGAAGGUGGGGAUGACGUCAAGUCCUCAUGGCCCUUAUGGGUAGGGCUUCACACGUCAUACAAUGGUCGGUACAGAGGGUUGCCAACCCGCGAGGGGGAGCCAAUCCCAGAAAACCGAUCGUAGUCCGGAUUGCAGUCUGCAACUCGACUGCAUGAAGUCGGAAUCGCUAGUAAUCGCGGAUCAGCAUGUCGCGGUGAAUACGUUCCCGGGCCUU